GUCCAGCCGCAGGGGCCACCCGAACAGUCUCUCCUCCUCACAGAAGCCUGGAGCUGGGCAUCCAAGAAGAAGCAGCCUCAUUUGUUUUCUGGUGUCAUCGUAGGUGGCCACCUAUGGCUUUUGGGCUUCUCACCUGGGGCGGGUGGGUUCUGCACCACCCUCCCACCCUCCUUCCUCCGUGUGGACGAUAGAGCCACAUCCAGCACCACGGACAGCUCCCGGGCGCCUUCAUCUCCUCGUCCUCCAGGCAGCACAAGCCAUUGUGGAAUCUCCACCAGGUGUACAGAACGGUGCCUCUGCGUCCUGCCACUCAGGACCUCUCAAGUCCCCGAUGUGAUGGCUCCUCAGCAUGAUCAGGAGUGAGCGUAAUUCAGACCUAUUUAGAUCCGUCAGCCCACGGACCAGGGGGACCUUGAGCAGGACAGUCUUUUGUCUCCAAGCAGUCAUUCCCUGUUAUACAAGCAAGAGUCAGGAGGAGGAAUGGUUUUGGCAUCAUCCCCCACAGACAGCAAUGGGGCCUUUAGGCCUGGAAGGAAGGACCAGGCUGCGGCUGGCAUAUGGAGGUUGAGCCCUGGGCACGGGGCAUCAGCUUCACCCGGCUGGGGAUGCCUUCUGCUGGGUUUGUCCAUCUGGCACCAGCUGGCUUCCCAGCACCGCCCCCACAACCAACCAGACUCCUCCUUCUGCUGUUGCCAUGGCAAUUGGCUGCCAUAUUGUACCUCAGAGCACUAGCUCCUAUCUGGAUUUUCCCGCGGGGUUCCUAGAGGGUGGGAGAUGGGUCUCCAGGGAUUUAUCCCUUUCCCCUGAUAUCUAUCCAAUAAAAAUUCAUAAUAACAUA
rnacentral:lncRNA from 1 species